UACGGAGGGAGCUAGCGUUGUUCGGAAUUACUGGGCGUAAAGGGCUCGUAGGCGGCCAACUAAGUCCGACGUGAAAUCCCCAGGCUUAACCUGGGAACUGCGUCGGAUACUGGAUGGCUUGAAUCCGGGAGAGGGAUGCAGAAUUCCUGGUGUAGCGGUGGAAUGCGCAGAUAUCAGGAGGAACACCAAUGGCGAAGGCAGCUCGCUGGGACGGUACUGACGCUGAGGCGCGAAAGCGUGGGGAGCAAACAGG
rnacentral:rRNA from 1 species